GUAUUGGGUGGAAAGUGGCAACGGGUGAGUACACGUUGGUGACCUGCCCUGAGGAUGGGAAUAGGCGUGGGAAACCACGGCUAAUACCCCGGAUGUCUAAGCUGUUAGAGGGCUUAGACUACAGCCCCUGCAAUGGGUGCGCCUCGGGAUGGGCCUGCGGGCUAUCAGCUUGUUGGUGGGGUAAUGGCUUACCAAGGCGAAGACGGCUAUGGGGCGUGAGAGCGCGACCCCCCACAAUGAAACUGAGACACGGUCGCGAGACUCCUACGGGAGGCAGCAGUGAGGAAUAUUGCGCAAUGGGGGCAACCCUGACGCAGCAACGCCGCGUGGACGAUGAAGGCCUUCGGGUUGUAAAGUCCUUUUCUGAAGGAAGAUAGUGACGGUACUUCAGGAAUAAGUCCCGGCUAACUACGUGCCAGCAGCCGCGGUAAAACGUAGGGGGCGAGCGUUAUCCGGAUUUACUGGGCGUAAAGCGCACGUAGGCGGCAUCGUAAGUUGGACGUGAAAGCUCCCGGCUCAACUGGGAGAGGUCGUUCAAAACUGUGGUGCUUGAGGUUGAUAGAGGAGAGUGGAAUUCCCGGUGUAGUGGUGGAAUGCGUAGAUAUCGGGAGGAACACCAGUGGCGAAGGCGGCUCUCUAGGUCACACCUGACGCUGAGGUGCGAAAGCGUGGGGAGCGAACGGGAUUAGAUACCCCGGUAGUCCACGCUGUAGACGAUGGAUACUAGGUGUGGGAGGUUAUUUACCCCUUCUGUGC
rnacentral:rRNA from 1 species